rnacentral:SRP_RNA from 1 species
GCUGGGCGUGGUGGCACAUGCCUGUAGUCCCAGCUACUUGGGAGGUUGAGGCAGGAGGAUCACUUGAGCCCAGGAAUUCAAGGCUGUAGUGAGCUAUGAUGGCACCACUGCACUCCAGCCUAGGUGGCAAAGUGAGACCCUGCCUCUA